rnacentral:lncRNA from 1 species
UAUCGAAUUGAGAAAAAAAAAUGAAGAUCAAAUACCCAUCUCAAAACUGCUUUUACAAAAGCAGAAUAAAAAGUGAAAUGAAAUGAAAUGA